GGGCACUUAGCUCAGUGGAAGAGCGCCUGGUUCGCAUCCAGGAGGCCGCGAGUUCAAAUCUCGCAGUGUCCACCA
rnacentral:tRNA from 1 species